UACGUAGGGUGCAAGCGUUGUCCGGAAUUAUUGGGCGUAAAGAGCGUGUAGGCGGUCUGGUAGGUCCGUUGUGAAAACUCGAGCUCAACCUCGAGACGCCGAUGGAAACCCUCAGACUAGAGUCCGGAAGAGGAGAGUGGAAUUCCGUGGUGUAGCGGUGAAAUGCGCAGAUAUCAGGAAGAACACCCGUGGCUAAGGCGGCUCUCUAGUACGUGACUGACGCUGAGACGCGAAAGCGUGGGGAGCGAACAGG
rnacentral:rRNA from 1 species